UUGGAGGGCAAGUCUGGUGCCAGCAGCCGCGGUAAUUCCAGCUCCAAUAGCGUAUAUUAAAGUUGUUGCAGUUAAAAAGCUCGUAGUUGAAUUUCGGGAUUCAUCCGUUGGUCGGGCUUCACGGUCCGUACUGGUGUGAUGGGUUCCUACCUUCUGAAUAACCGGCAUGCCAUUAAUUUGGUGCGCCGGGGAAGCAGAACUAUUACCUUGAAAAAAUUAGAGUGCUUAAAGCAGGCAAGUGCCUGAAUAGGUUAGCAUGGAAUAAUAAAAUAGGACGGCAUGGUUCUAUUUUGUUGGUUUCUAGGAUCACCGUAAUGAUUAAUAGGGAUAGUUGGGGGCAUUAGUAUUCAAUUGUCAGAGGUGAAAUUCUUGGAUUUAUUGAAGACUAACUUCUGCGAAAGCAUUUGCCAAGGAUGUUUUCAUUAAUCAAGAACGAAAGUUAGGGGAUCGAAGACGAUCAGAUACCGUCGUAGUCUUAACCAUAAACUAUGCCGACUAGGGAUCGGACGAUGUUAAUUUUUUAAUGACUCGUUCGGCGCCUUACGGGAAA
rnacentral:rRNA from 1 species